rnacentral:tRNA from 1 species
UCCCUGGUAGUAUAUUGGUUAGUACACGCGCCUGUCACGCGCGAAAGCAGGGUUCGAUUCCCUGCCAGGGAG